UGGCUUUUUAUUUCGAAAAUUUAUAUGGCAACACUUAUAAUUACGUCAUUGUCAUUAAAACCUGAGUUGUUGAUGUGUCAAAGUGAAAAUUAUUUCCCCGAUUUUAGUGAUUUCUAAUUGAAAACGAGACGAAAACAUUGAAAUGCGACUUAAAAAAGGUUCUUUUUACUAUGAUUAGUAAAUUUGAAAAGAAACAAGUUGAAAGAGAUGUAGUUUUCAAGGAAAAAUAAGAGUGUUUACGUGAAAUAUCUCAAUGCAUUGUAACAUGGAUGAUACCAAUAGUCCAGUUAUAAACUAUUCAAGCAACAAUAAAAAAAAUUGAAUGAUCUGUUUCGUUCAAAAUGUUUAAAGACACAAAAUCAGUAUCUUAACGAGAUUUCUUCUAUGACCGGACCAUGUUAUUCGUGUUGAAGAUAGUAUAAAAAACGAAAUGGAAUAACUGCAGAAAUGGAAGGGUUCAUAAUAAGAGUCAGAGAUAAUGAUAGUGAUUCUUACUAUUCACUCGCGGUUGAAUUUUUAGAUUUAAUAUGAUUAUAUUGAUUAAACAAACUUUAAUUGUAUUUUUAUUGUGUUUUUUCUUGCUUUCAUUCGGUGUUCUUUUUUGUCUAUCUGUAUCACUUAACUGUACUAAGUAUAUUACAUAAAACAAUAUUAUAAAGAUGAAGAGUU